UUUUCCCCCGAUUUCUUCUUCUUCUUUAUUCCCCGAUUUCUUCAGCUGGUGCUCUGUCCUAUUCGCUCCAUCUUCUUCCCUCCUCCAUCUGCAUCACCGUCCCUGUCAACGAAGCACCAAACGAGACAAACAUUGUUGUCCCUGCAUCCGAGCAUAUCAUUAAUUUUCUAGGCGCGACAAAGGCGUAACGCUUGGGAAAAUUUGGGGAAGUAAGAACUUCCGGUGUCUGGGCCGAUCUGGGGGAAAGAAUUUGAAAACUUAGGUGAUUGGGUGUCCAAAAACCAUUGAUGGUGACUUUGAAAUGCAAAGAAUUCCCAACAAGUUUUGGGUUUGAUACUGCUUUCAAGAUACACUGAAGGAAGCUAAUAAUAAUGUGAUGCACUUCAUUUUAUUCAGAUAUAUGCAUAAAGGAUUGGAAAUGUCAUGAUAGAUGCCAGAUCAACUGGAAAAUAUUAUCAUUGUAAGUAUGCUGGUUUAAAGUCAUGGAACAUGUAGUGAUUUAGCUUGUAGAUUACAGUUUAACUCAUCUUAUCUUUUGAUUUGCACUCUAGUGAGCUUAACAAAAUUUAAUUGUCAACUACAGUUGUGCGACUUAUGGGGCGUGCAGCUUCGCACAUAACACUUGAAUGUGUAUUGCUCUUAUGUCUUUAUUUUCACAAUCAAUGUUUAUCAUUAUAUGUGUGUCUGUUUUUUCAAAGAAUGCUAAGGAUUAAGAUUGUGCCAUACUUGAGAUUUUUUAUUUUUUAAAAAAAAUAUCUAGUGUUGGAAGAUUUUCCAUUGAUAUUAGAUCAGCCAUGUACAUUUAUAUCAGCCACAACUAUGAUAUCCUUGUUUCUGUUUUAGUUAUAGUUUCCUUAUUUUCUGUUUUAAUUCUAUUUUCCUUAUUUCGUUUAUUGUGUAUUAUAAUUUGAUAGGAUGAUGUUUUAUUUUGUUUCCAAUCUUAUGAAAAGUAAGAUCAAUUUUGAUUUCAGAGAAUUGAA